AUUGAACGCUGGCGGCAUGCUUUACACAUGCAAGUCGAACGGCAGCGCGGGCUUCGGCCUGGCGGCGAGUGGCGAACGGGUGAGUAAUACAUCGGAACGUACCCAGGAGUGGGGGAUAACGCAGCGAAAGCUGCGCUAAUACCGCAUACGCUCUACGGAGGAAAGCGGGGGACCGCAAGGCCUUGUGCCCAUGAAGCGCCCGAUGUCUGAUUAGCUAGUUGGUGAGGUAAAGGCUCACCAAGGCGACGAUCAGUAGCUGGUCUGAGAGGACGACCAGCCACACUGGAACUGAGACACGGUCCAGACUCCUACGGGAGGCAGCAGUGGGGAAUUUUGGACAAUGGGGGCAACCCUGAUCCAGCAAGGCCGCGUGAGUGAAGAAGGCCUUCGGGUUGUAAAGCUCUUUUGUCAGGGAAGAAACGGCUGUGGAUAAUAUCCACGGCUAAAGACGGUACCUGAAGAACAAGCACCGGCUAACUACGUGCCAGCCGCCGCCGUAAAAC
rnacentral:rRNA from 1 species